UUUAAACCCAAAGAAUUUGGCGGUACUUNAUUCCAUUCAGAGGAACCUACCCNGUAAUUGAUAGUACACGAUUAACUUUACUUAAUUUAUUUGUUNGUAUAUCUCCGUUAUCAAAAAAUCUUUUUAGAGUUUAAAUUUUCAUAAUUUAUAACUAUAAAGUAUUUCAGGUCAAGGUGCAGUUUAUAAUUAAGAGGAGGUGGGUUACAAUAAAUUUUUAUUUAUNACGGCUAUUUUAAUGAAAUAUUAAGAAUUAAGGUGGAUUUGAUAGUAAUUUAAUUUAAUUAAUUUAAUUGAUAUU
rnacentral:rRNA from 1 species